rnacentral:lncRNA from 1 species
GUUCAUUAGCACAUAGGAUACGGUACCUCCCAUUACCAGGGACACAAAAAUGAGUGUAUUUCCUGACCACAGGGAUCUUUACAGCUUUCUCAAGGAGAUCAGACAUAUAAUUAAUACAACACAGCCUACAGGUGUGUCUUCGAGAGAUAAGGUAAACUACCCUGAGGGCCAUGGGAGAGAAGAUCACUUCUGUUUAAGACCUCGAUCUAGAGGCAUUCCUAUAAUACAAACAUUUUGAUAAAAUCUGUCCUAAGCUUUUCGGUCAGUAUGAGCCACCACACCCAGCCAUCUUACAGUUUUGAAGCAGGUGAAACUGGCAGGGCUGGAGGUGGCUGGGAAAGGCGGU